rnacentral:rRNA from 1 species
UACGUAGGGGGGCAAGCGUUGUCCGGAUUUAUUGGGCGUAAAGAGCGUGUAGGCGGUCUGGUAGGUCCGUUGUGAAAACUCGAGGCUCAACCUCGAGACGCCGAUGGAAACCAUCAGACUAGAGUCCGGAAGAGGAGAGUGGAAUUCCUGGUGUAGAGGUGAAAUUCGUAGAUAUUGGGAAGAACACCGGUGGCGAAGGCGACUCUUUGGCCUGUAACUGACGCUGAGGCGCGAAAGCGUGGGGAGCAAACAGG